UCCUCAGCCCUAUGCCAGAUCACUGUCAUUCAUUUUAGGCAGCCAGUUAUUGCUUCCCGAGCUGCAGCAGGGAUUCCUCUGACCUUAUGGUUCUGCUGCAGAGUCAUGUCAGAGGACAGAACCAAAUAAGUAAGACAUUUACUGUGAAGGAAACAGGCAGCUGCAAGAAAUGCACUGGUUCUCUGCAUCAGGUUGCUAUUUCAAUGGACUGUUAAAUGUCAAGUGAGUGUUUUCCUCCUGCUUUUAUACAUCACCAAGAUCAUCUCUUUGUGAUCCCAGGGAGAAGGGGUUGGCAGUCUUGAGUCACAUGCAAGCUUUAAAUAUGACUUGGAGAAGGAGGCAUUGUUUUAGAAUCUAAGGAUACGAAGACAAAUAAAUGGAUAAAUACAGCUUUCCUCAUGGAGUUUAUGUUCUUACUAAGGGAGACAGAAAUAAACAAGGUCCUGUCCAUGGUGCUGAAGCCCUCACCUCAUUAGAGCAUCUGCUUUCAGGGAGUAUAUGAUCUGGUGGAGGAAAAGGAUCCAGCAAUACUUGGAACAGCAAACACUUGUCAAGUCUUAUUCUCAUUACUUACAUAUAUUGAGUCAUUUAACUCUUGUGAUAUAGAAACUGUUAUUAUUUCUAUUUACAGAUCAGGCAAUCAAGUCAAGCACCUUAGCAAGCAGCAGAGCCAGGAAUCUGAAGUCAAGCAAUCAUGAUGAAAAGUAUUUGUUCUUAAUUACUACACUGCAUUUCAAUAAACAAAUAAAAUGAGAGAUAAUA